rnacentral:rRNA from 1 species
AUUGAACGCUGGCGGCAUGCUUUACACAUGCAAGUCGAACGGCAGCGCGGGCUUCGGCCUGGCGGCGAGUGGCGAACGGGUGAGUAAUACAUCGGAACGUGCCCAGUAGUGGGGGAUAGCUCGGCGAAAGCCGGAUUAAUACCGCAUACGACCUGAGGGUGAAAGCGGGGGAUCUUCGGACCUCGCGCUAUUGGAGCGGCCGAUGGCAGAUUAGCUAGUUGGUGGGGUAAAGGCCUACAAGGCGACGAUCUGUAGCUGGUCUGAGAGGACGACCAGCCACACUGGGACUGAGACACGGCCCAGACUCCUACGGGAGGCAGCAGUGGGGAAUUUUGGACAAUGGGCGAAAGCCUGAUCCAGCAAUGCCGCGUGUGUGAUGAAGGCCUUCGGGUUGUAAAGCACUUUUGGCGGGAACGAAAAGGACUGUGCCAAUACCACGGUUCGAUGACGGUACCCGCAGAAUAAGCACCGGCUAACUACGUG